CGAAAUCGGUAGACGCUACGGACUUAAAAUCCGUCGACUUAUAAAUCGUGAGGGUUCAAGUCCCUCUAUCCCG
rnacentral:tRNA from 1 species